rnacentral:rRNA from 1 species
AACGAACGCUGGCGGCAUGCCUAACACAUGCAAGUCGAACGAGACCUUCGGGUCUAGUGGCGCACGGGUGCGUAACGCGUGGGAACCUGCCCUUAGGUUCGGAAUAACUCCCCGAAAGGGGUCCUAAUACCGGAUAAUGUCUUCGGACCAAAGAUUUCUCGCUUUUGGAUGGGCCCGCGUUGGAUUAGCUAGUUGGUAGGGUAAAAGCCUACCAAGGCGACGAUACAUAGCUGGUCUGAGAGGAUGAUCAGCCACACUGGGACUGAGACACGGCCCAGACUCCUACGGGAGGCAGCAGUGGGGAAUAUUGGACAAUGGGCGAAAGCCUGAGCCAGCAAGGCCGCGUGAGGGAUGAAGGCCUUAGGGUUGUAAAGCUCUUUUACCCGGGAUGAUAAUGACAGUACCGGGAGAAUAAGCUCCGGCUAACUCCGUG